rnacentral:rRNA from 1 species
UACAGAGGUCCCAAGCGUUGUUCGGAUUCACUGGGCGUAAAGGGUGCGUAGGUGGUGGGGUAAGUCUGAUGUGAAAUCUUCGAGCUUAACUCGGAAAUGGCAUUGGAUACUACUCUGCUAGGGGUUUGGAGGGGGGACUGGAAUUCUCGGUGUAGCAGUGAAAUGCGUAGAUAUCGAGAGGAACACCAGUGGCGAAGGCGAGUCCCUGGACAACACCUGACACUGAGGCACGAAAGCUAGGGGAGCAAACAGG